rfam:Brassica rapa chromosome A6, whole genome shotgun sequence.
GAAUGUGUAUGAGGAGAAACAAAAAUCAAAAUACAGUUAUCCCUGGCUUAGGCUUCUUAAGCCGUUGAUGAAUCUUUUGUAAUCUGACCACAUCA